rnacentral:rRNA from 1 species
GCAAUGGACGAAAGUCUGACCGAGCAACGCCGCGUAAGUGAAGAAGGUUUUCGGAUCGUAAAGCUCUGUUGUAAGUCAAGAACGUGUGUGAGAGUGGAAAGUUCACACAGUGACGGUAGCUUACCAGAAAGGGACGGCUAACUACGUGCCAGCAGCCGCGGUAAUACGUAGGUCCCGAGCGUCGUCCGGAUUUAUUGGGCGUAAAGGGAGCGCAGGCGGUCAGGAAAGUCUGGAGUAAAAGGCUAUGGCUCAACCAUAGUGUGCUCUGGAAACUGUCUGACUUGAGUGCAGAAGGGGAGAGUGGAAUUCCAUGUGUAGCGGUGAAAUGCGUAGAUAUAUGGAGGAACACCAGUGGCGAAAGCGGCUCUCUGGUCUGUCACUGACGCUGAGGCUCGAAAGCGUGGGUAGCGAACAGGAUUAGAUACCCUGGUAGUCCACGCCGUAAACGAUGAGUGCUAGGUGUUAGGCCCUUUCCGGGGCUUAGUGCCGGAGCUAACGCAAUAAGCACUCCGCCUGGGGAGUACGACCGCAAGGUUGAAACUCAAAGGAAUUGACGGGGGCCCGCACAAGCGGUGGAGCAUGUGGUUUAAUUCGAAGCAACGCGAAGAACCUUACCA